UUGCUGUUAUCAGUAUCAGUGCCUUAUCAGUAUCUCUCUCGACACUAAUGCGAGGAUUAUUAGCUGAAAAGUCUCGAGCAUUUUUCAAUUGUUUUCUCAGCCUCCUUGUCCGUUUUGUUUUACCACUUUUCAAGUACCACUGAUCAUUCAUUGUGUGAGUGAUAGUUCACUUUGAAAAUUCUUUUCUCAUGUGCAUGACAGUGGAUCAACCACUUUUCCUGCAACGUCGUUCAAAUACUUUCCAAACCGUCUCACAAUAUUGCAUUGCAAUUGGGUGUGUAAAAAAUUUUGAGACAACAUUGCAUGCCCACACAUCCUUGCCAGGCAGGAACUCAAAUGCUCAUAGUUACGAGUCAAAUUACGCAAUUAAAUCGUGUUCAUGUGUGCUAUCCAAUAUGAUUCUCAAUGCUCCAUUAAAGUGAAAUUUAAACCAGGUAGCAAUUUGAAAUGCCCACUCACCAAUUCCUAAUUAAAGCAUUUCCAUGAAUUACCUUAACUAUCUGUCAACAUAGGCUAAAUUUGCUCUGUGUAAAGAUUUACGUUGCGCUCAAGUGGCCCUGCCCAAUAACACUCUGUGAAACUUGAAUUAGAAAUGAUAUGCAUGUCUUGCAGUGUCAACGAUUUUUACGGCAAACUAAACACAUCCUGAGUUUGAUAGAUGUGAAAAUGUCUAGCGAUCCAGUUAAACCAAAUGUUCUAGUAACACGUUGUGAUUUUUCACCCUCAGCAAUUGCAUUACUAAAGGAACACUUUGAAGUCGAAUGCUGGGACAACAAGAAGAAUGGACUGUUGCCGCAAGAUAAAUUCAUCAAACUUAUUCGAGGGAAAUUUGGAGUGAUGAUGAUUGGCCCCUUGAGAGUUGAUGAAGAUGUUCUUGCUGCAGGAGUUCCUUCUUUGAGAGUGGUCAGCACUGCAUCUGUUGGUGUGGAUCAUGUUGAAGUGGAAAUUUUUAAAAAGUACAAUGUUCGUCUUGGUUACGCUCCUCAUGUCUCGAACCUGGAAGCGACCGCAGAACUUACCGUUGCUUUGCUGCUUGCAGUUUCUCGGAGAAUAGUUGAGGCCUCAAAUGGAGUUAAAAGUGGUGGUUGGACCCCAGACCUGUUAGCUAAUCAUUGGGUAAAAGGCCAAGGACUUUAUGAUUCAACCAUUGGAAUUAUCGGUUAUGGACGAAUAGGACAUUCUGUUGCGGUCAAACUGAAAAGCUUUUCUCCAAAACAAAUUCUUUAUUACAGUAGGAAGGAGAAACCGAAUGGAGCUGAAAUUGGUGCUGUGUUCACUGACCUUGAUACGUUAUUGCAGACCUGUGAUUUCAUUAUACUGACUAUUUUGGCCACUCCGGAAACAAAGGGACUCAUCAGUAGAGAAAAAAUUUCCCUUAUGAAGAGGAACGCCAUCUUUAUUAAUACUGCAAGGGGUGUGCUAGUAGACCAAGAUGCUCUUACUGAAGCUCUUCAACAAGGGAAAAUUCUCGGUGCAGGGCUAGAUGUCACAAGUCCCGAACCAUUGCCUCUAGACCAUCCGCUACACACGCUUAAAAACUGUGUUAUUCUACCUCACAUGGGAGAUGCCACCUCAAAAGGAACAGAGGAUAAACAUUCUCAAGCAGCUAAAAAUAUUAUUGCUGUUUGGAAAGGAGCUCCAAUGCCCGCAGAGUAUCCUUUAUAACCCUCAAAAAUAGCUCUCCGUAAUGCAAUUCAGUAACAAAAUAAGUGUGAGUGAAAAUAGCAAGAAGACAGCAAAUAUUCAGGCUUGUUUUAGCAGCAUGCUGCAUUAACUAAGCAUAAUGUAGUACUGACCACGAACAGAAUUUUCGAUCUCCAUCUCAUCCUAGGUAGGCAGACUUCAAAUGCUCGAUUGAGGAGACCAAAUUUCAGGAAAUGAACAAUCGAAAAAGGCCCUCAGGAAUUAUAAUCCAAGUUACAUAUUAGUGCAUCCUAAAACCUAAUUCUCAUGAUGGACCAGAGAUGAGGUGAGUGGAACCUGCCUGGAAGAAGCAACUUCAUUGAGCUCCUUGAGUUCGCUUCUUUUUUCAAUUAAGUUCUAAAAAUUACUGUGGUUCAAUGUGCCAAAAUUUCAAUGAUAAUUUAUUUUUUAUUCACCAUCACAAUAGAAUAGUUCCAUCGUGUGAUUUGAAAAUUUAUGCAAUUUUUCUGUGACCUCUAGGUAUUUUUUAAGUUUCAAAAGGUGGUAAGUCGACACCUUAAAAAAAAUAGCUGUUUGUCUGAAUGAUUCAUCAUUAUCUUUUCAGCGCUUGAAUAAAUAUCACUUUGUCCUACUCUUACUCAAAGAUGCAACAUUUUUGAUUUCAAUAGAAUUUCAAGGACCACAUAUGCAACCUGCAACAAUCAUUCGAGAUUUUGAUGAGAAACUUAGAAAUAUGACUCAUGUUUUCGUUUUUUUUUUUUUUAAAUUAAGGUGUUAGUUUUUGUGGGUUUUAGGAUAUGCCCAGUUUAUUGCAGGAGUUUUAAAAAUUUCAAAAAUUGUAACGUUAAAUUUUUCAUUUUAUGAAGUCAUGAAACCACGUAUCUCUAUGCUUGCAUCGCUAAGCUUUUCCAAUUAGUUUUACCACACCUAUGUUUCGUGCCUAACAAGGUAUUUUCUAUUACAAAUCAUCGUCUUUUCCUCCAGUGUGUGUUGUAGUUGCAUAAGCUCAGAAAACUGAUUUCAAUUUUUAUGUUGUCUUCGCACGACGGGUCAUGUAAAUGAUAUCCAAUGGCGGAUAAUCUUUCACGAGUCAUACUAUGUCAGCUUAUGAUUCAUUUUCUGUGGAUGAAGAACUAAGUAGCUAAGUUUUUCAUUCAUCAAUCUAGAGCCAUGAUAUAUGUUUAAGAAAGGAAAGAAAAAAAAAAAUCACUUUGGAAAUAUAGUUAUUUUGUUCCUCUUUAGUUUUAUGCUUUCAGGAUGGUAGUCAGGCUCGGACUUUUUGCUGCCCCUGUGAUGGUUGUUACAGCAGAAAAGAUUACCUACCAACGAGGGGGUCUUGUCAACAAGUUUUAUCUAUUUUUUUGUCAAUUCUUACAUGGUAACUGUUCAAAAUAAAUAAAUAAAUAAAUCAAUCAAUAAAUGAACAA